rnacentral:rRNA from 1 species
AAACGGCAGCACGGACUUCGGUCUGGUGGCGAGUGGCGAACGGGUGAGUAAUGUAUCGGAACGUGCCCAGUAGCGGGGGAUAACUACGCGAAAGCGUAGCUAAUACCGCAUACGCCCUACGGGGGAAAGCAGGGGAUCGCAAGACCUUGCACUAUUGGAGCGGCCGAUAUCGGAUUAGCUAGUUGGUGGGGUAACGGCUCACCAAGGCGACGAUCCGUAGCUGGUUUGAGAGGACGACCAGCCACACUGGGACUGAGACACGGCCCAGACUCCUACGGGAGGCAGCAGUGGGGAAUUUUGGACAAUGGGGGAAACCCUGAUCCAGCCAUCCCGCGUGUGCGAUGAAGGCCUUCGGGUUGUAAAGCACUUUUGGCAGGAAAGAAACGUCAUGGGUUAAUACCCCGUGAAACUGACGGUACCUGCAAAAUAAGCACCGGCUAACUACGUGCCAGCAACAGCGGUAAUACGUAGGGUGCAAGCGUUAAUCGGAAUUACUGGGCGUAAAGCGUGCGCAAGGCGGUUCCGAAAGAAAGAUGUGAAAUCCCAGACCUUAACUUUGGAACUGCAUUUUUAACUACCGGGCUAUAGUGUUGUCAAAGGGAGGUGGAAUUCCGCGUGUUAC